rfam:Paenibacillus sp. IHBB 10380, complete genome.
CACAUGCUGUAACCGCUCCGAUCGGGUUGUGAAGUGCAGUGUUGUAUAUAGUGCUGCCACCUUGACUAGGCGAGUCUGAGACAUGAA